UUGAAAGAUCCCAGAGUCUCAUUCAUUUGC
rnacentral:piRNA from 1 species